GACGAACGCUGGCGGCGUGCUUAACACAUGCAAGUCGAACGGAAAGGCCCUGCUUUUGUGGGGUGCUCGAGUGGCGAACGGGUGAGUAACACGUGAGUAACCUGCCCUUGACUUUGGGAUAACUUCAGGAAACUGGGGCUAAUACCGGAUAGGAGCUCCUGCUGCAUGGUGGGGGUUGGAAAGGUUCGGCGGUUGGGGAUGGACUCGCGGCUUAUCAGCUUGUUGGUGGGGUAGUGGCUUACCAAGGCUUUGACGGGUAGCCGGCCUGAGAGGGUGACCGGCCACAUUGGGACUGAGAUACGGCCCAGACUCCUACGGGAGGCAGCAGUGGAGAAUAUUGCACAAUGGGCGGAAGCCUGAUGCAGCAACGCCGCGUGCGGGAUGACGGCCUUCGGGUUGUAAACCGCUUUCGCCUGUGACGAAGCGUGAGUGACGGUAAUGGGUAAAGAAGCACCGGCUAACUACGUG
rnacentral:rRNA from 1 species